rfam:Danio rerio chromosome 4, GRCz11 reference primary assembly.
GCCUGGCUAGCUCAGUCGGUAGAGCAUGAGACUCAUAAUGUCAGGGUCGUGGGUUAGACCCCCACGUUGGGCG